rnacentral:rRNA from 1 species
UACGAAGGGGGCGAGCGUUGUUCGGAAUUACUGGGCGUAAAGGGCGCGUAGGCGGCGAUCUUUGUCAGGCGUGAAAGCCCUGGGCUUAACCUGGGAGGUGCGCUUGGGACGGGGUUGCUAGAGAUCGGGAGAGGAGCGUGGAAUUCCCAGUGUAGAGGUGAAAUUCGUAGAUAUUCGCAAGAACACCAGUGGCGAAGGCGGCUCACUGGCCCGGUACUGACGCUGAGGUGCGAAAGCGUGGGGAGCAAACAGG